GUACACGCUGUGACUAGCAUAUCAAUAAGCGGAGGAAAAGAAACUAACAAGGAUUCCCCUAGUAACGGCGAGUGAAGCGGGAAGAGCUCAAAUUUGAAAUCUUAAAGGGUUUCCCUUUACGAAUUGUAGUUUAAAGAAGUGUUUUCUGUUGAGGUUUUGGUAAAAGUUCUUUGGAAUAGGACAUCAUAGAGGGUGAGAAUCCCGUAUUUGACCUUUACUUUCAACUUUGUGAUACACUUUCAAAGAGUCGGAUUGUUUGGGAAUGCAGUCCAAAAUGGGUGGUAAAUUUCAUCUAAAGCUAAAUAUUGGCGAGAGACCGAUAGCGAACAAGUACCGUGAGGGAAAGAUGGUAAAGAACUUUGAAAAGAGAGUUAAACAGUACGUGAAAUUGUCAAAAGGGAAGCGUUUGACACCAGUGUUGUUUUUCUGAAAAUCAAUUAAAGAACUGUUUAUGCUAAGCUUGUUUAGACUUUAUCAGCUAUCUGUUUAGUUUUGAGCUUUUCUUUAAUGCACUUUUCAGUUAACAAGUCAACAUCAAUUUCUUUUGCUGUAAAAAAGCUUGAGGAAGGUGGCUUGAGAUUCGUCUUAAGUGUUUAUAGCCUCUUGCCUAUGCAGUCGGAGAGAUUGAGGUCUGCAGCGUAGAUCCUUCGGGGCUAAAUGCAUUUGUGCUAAGUUAUAGCAUUUUAUAGACAACUUGUUGACUAUGAUUUGUCUUGUAGCUUACUCGCUUAUGUUAUUUUACCUACGCUUAGGAUGUUGAGUCGUAGAGCACGCAG
rnacentral:rRNA from 1 species